UUUUGGUCCUAUUUUUUUUUUUCUAAAAGCCCUGCUUGGGACUUUGAUGCCUACAGAUCUCCUCCAGGCCUGGCCCUUAUGCUCCUCAAAGAGUCGGCACCUAUUUUGAUGACGUGAAGCAUUAUCUGCUCCAAACUCAUAAACAAAAACAAGCUUAACCAUUAACCCCCUCCAUCACAGCACCCCAACCUAUCGCUCUCUGAGAGCUGACUCCUCACAGGGCAGGUUUCUGUCUCUGUUUUCAUCAAUCUCAAGCAGUUUUUUAAACUGUUCACUAGAGUUUGCCCCCUGCUACGUUUAUGAUGUAGCACUACAGAGGCUCUCAGCCUGCCAUGCUGCAUGCUGUGGUGGUUUGGGACUGGCAGAGCUGAAGCCUGUUGGCUGCCUCCCUCUGCUCUCCUACCUCUGUGUAGCUUUGCAGCAAAUCAAAGUGCAACAAAUGGCUUUGCAUCAUGUCUUUGAGGAGCCCUGGGCCUUGUAUGUUAUCUUGAGGGCAGAGUAUAUGCUCCAAUAAAAGAAGGCUUUAUUACCAACUGCAACGGAGCUAAGGAUCCAAACACGUAUCGCCUUGUGAGUUUGUCGUAAACUCCCUUUUAUGGCCCAUCCAGUUUAUGGCUGAUGGAGAUUUACAGUGGGAAGAAGGGGCCGUGUGCUCUAAUUAAUGUGGUUAUUAGGCUGGGAGGGCUCAGCACAGCCAGCCCCGUGCUCGCCCUUCAUCACGGCCCUGCAGAGCACACAGACAGUGUCUGUCCCCACAUGAGGACUCACCGUAUGGAUGGGGAGCUGAGGUCAAUUCUAUGGGCUGCCAGAGGAGCUGAGCACAGUGUGGGGCAGUGGAGGCUGUGCUGAAAAUAUCCCAUCCCUCCUGCUUGGGUGGUGCUUCUGUCAAUUAGAAGUCAUUGCUCCUCAUCCGUCUUUGGGCUCUAGAUGAGUUCUGACCCCAGUUCCAUCCCCACCAUCACUGUGGACCUGGGAUGUGGCCCUGUUAAUAUCAGCCCGACUUCCAUCACAUGCAGCUGUGCUGGAAUGAAGCUACAAAUGAGGCAGAUUUCAUGUGGUUGCAGCUCCUCUCUGGGAAUGCUUCAUGCCGCUUUGCUCAGCAAUUAAAAGCAAGGAGCUGGGGUGAGAACAGUCCUGCUAAUGAUUUGCAGUCCACUCCCUUGAGCUAAGCUGUCUUUGCAGAGCCAAAAUUAUAUCAUAUCAGUCUCCAGAAGCUACCACAGAAGUUAAACAUUAAGUGGCUUAUGUUGCUGGAAACUUCCGUUGGCUUCAGCUUGAUCACAGGUCAAGGAUGCCGUCAUCGAGAGCAGCCUUGAUCUCCAGCAGCCGCCAUGGAAAUGGCCAAGCCCAGAGGGACUGAAAUACAGCAGGGCCAUAAAUCUAGCCCUGUGGGGCAGCCCUGUGCUCCCGACCUCACAGAAGAGUGAGAAUGCUGCUGGAGGAGCCCACAAACCCAGGAGGGGCUUCGGGAGCUGCAUCAGGUGGAAGAGUGCAUCCAACUCCUGAUGCUGGAGAGCAAAGCGCUGAUUUCCCACAUCUCACCCAGCCAUGAGAGCAGAGCCAGCUGAAAUCCUGAGUGCUGAGAGGAUGGUUCUGCCCUGAUUUCACUCUAGGAAUUUCCUGCAAAGCAAAAAAGGCACAGGUUGAGAGCUGCAAGGAUUCUGGGGGCAAAUAUCCAGGAACUGGGCACCCCUUUGAGGCACGGCGAGGUCUGCAAUGGGGAAGGAGAAAAAGAUUCAGGGCUCUUUCUCACCACUAUUAUUAAUAUUCAAAUUAAUUAACUGUGCUGAGGGCUGGAGGAAAUUGAAUGUGGAGAACAACCUAAGCUCUGCUUUAGAUUUUAAGCCAUUCAGGGCUUUGAUGUAAAGCUUGUGCUUUUAUUAUUAUUAUUUUUAAAUCUCUUGAUUUUUUUUUUUCUUUUUAUGCAAACACCUGGCCUGCUUUAGAGGCGAUAUAACAGUAAUAAAUGAUCCUUAUUAAUUGGCCGUUGGCUGAUGGGGAGCAGCAGGCUCCCAGCAAAACAGGGUGCAUUCAUGGGGGUUAUAGAGCCAGGUUUGGGGAGGGGAUAAUGGGGCUGAGCCCCCCCCAGCAUCCCAGUAUGGGGCUCCCAGCCAGGUAGGGAGCUUUGGUGAGGUUAAAUAAUAAAAAAAAAAAAAGCAGCUUUAACGAGGCAGAGCUUAAAUACACGCACUCCCUCUUUACCCAUUUAUUAAGUAAUAAUGAAACACUUUUGUCAAAGCUUAGGCACCAAAUUUCUGACACCAGAUGAGCUCUAAAGCUAAUCAGGGGCUGGAAAAAUGGGAAUAUAAUUAAGGCUGCUGACAGCCCCGUGUCAUUAACCUCACAGCUCUCAGGUGCCAUGCUGAACCACAGCUGCAAAAAAUACUGUAUUACGGGCGGUUGGUUUCAGCUGUGGAAAUGAAUUUGGCUUUUAAUGGCUCUGUAAUGUCUCUGGGGUUGAGGUGGUGGCAGGAGGAGGGUGGUGGUCUGUGCUGGGUCAGCUUGGCUGGAGCUGCUCAGUGGAUUCCUGCUUGUAUCCAGUGUCUUCUGACGUGGGGCUGGUGGUACCUGUGCCACCUACCUGCGCUGUGACUUGGCUUCCCAUCCAACAGAAUGGGAGGUAGCAGUGGGGACCUGGGGGUUCCAGCAUCUCACAAGGCUGUUUCCUAGGCAGGCACUGUGGGACGUGAAAAGGGGGAAGGGUUUGCCUGGGGUGGAGGGAGCUGUGCUACUGCCAGGAAUAGCACCCAGGCAUCCCGUGACCCGAGCUCUCCUGCACAAAAACAUGAUAAGGUUCCCAGCACCGGGCACUGAGCAGCCAUAGGAGAGAGCACUGCUGAGACUGCUGUCGGUGCUGCCUCUGAGGAUGAGCAAAGUACCUAUUAGGAGCUGAUGAGCAGAAUGGCACUGAACCUGACUCAGCUCCAAUGUUAGUCAUCAUUCACCCUCUGCUGUCACUACGGGGAGAUCUGCUGUCCCACACUUCCUAAGUGUGUCUCACGCUUUCUCUGCAGCCUUCUCAGUUUCUCGGGUGCAAAACUCAAGCUUUGGACAACAGCAGGAGCAGUCAGUUAUGUUCUCACUCUGUCUGCUUUGGAAGUCCUGCAGCGUGCUGGUGUGACCACAGCCAUAGGAGCAGGGCAGUUCAGGAUAAAUCAAAAACAAAAGUGCCAUUAUCCAUAUGGGACCUCAGGAGCGCAUCGCGUCCCCCAGCAAUUCCAAGCACUCUGGAUAUGGUUCUCGCUUGGUUUUAACUCAAUUUCUUUGAGAUGCAAAUCAGAGGGAUUAUAUUCAGAGGCUGCAUCAGAAAGUCUUUAAUCCAAAUGGGCUAUAAGAUUUAUUUGGAAGAGCCAAAUGUCUUGUCUGGGACAGAAGCAACCGAGCUGAACUGAAACAGAUGGACAUAAAGGAAAUUAAGCAACUCUAAUGGUCUUAUCCAGAGUUUCAAAGUAUUUGGUCUUCGGAAAGCUCCAGCUCCUGGAAGCACGUGAUGAGAUGGGGAGAUCAAGUUUCAUUUAAAAACAGGCUUUGCAGUUCACUGAGAAAGACAAUAAUAAUGUUUUUAUUCCUCCUGUGUACAGAGGGAAGGCUGCCUUCCAAACCCCAGCUCCUCAGCUCAGCUCAUGACGUCAGAUGGAAGCGUAUUGCACAACGUUUGAAUUCCUUGUCUUCAUCACAGUAUGGUUAUUUCAGUGGGCUGGAUUUGGGAUUUCAGAAGGUGGAUUCUUCCCCGGGUUCUUGGGGUGCCAGGAGGUGAUCGCCCUCAUCUCUGCAAGGGGAAACCAUCUGCAGCCUGAGCAGUGAGCCCUCCUGUUUCCAGCUGCGCCGUGCCCUGCUUGGCUCAGUGCUGAGUACCCAGAGCAGAGAAGCUUCACGUGUCUGUGCCUUGGCCAUCCUUCACCCCAGUGCUUUUGGAUUCGGAUUAAAUAAAAGCCAUCCACCCAAGCCGUAGAGCUGUCAACAUGGGGAAUGACCUUCACCUCCUCGCUCACCUCCAGGAGAUGCUGUGUCCGCUCGGCCGGGCGCAUGGUUGGCUGCAGCAGCACUGCCUGCUGCCCGGAGCCAGAGCAGGUGGGGACCACCUGUGUAUUUCCCAGGUGUUGAAGAGGAGGUGGCAGCAUUGGCUGUGGGUUGUUGCUGAACUCGCUCAUGGAUUGCUAAUGAUGUUUGUGAAAGCCCUGAAUGAAGACCACACACGGGAGGCUCAGG